rfam:Clostridium beijerinckii NCIMB 8052, complete genome.
UAAAAACUUUGUUAGGUGAGGCUCCUAUAUAGAUACAUGCUGCUGCCCGGAAACGUCGAGAGACGCCAAUGGGUCAACAGGUAUUGCCGGAUUAAGGUUCUACUUAAUGUAGCCGAAAACCAUAUGGUUUUCUAUGCUCUAUAGUGCUAAAACUCAACGAGUGAAGGUUAAUA